GACGAACGCUGGCGGCGUGCUUAACACAUGCAAGUCGAACGGAAAGGCCCUGCUGUUGUGGGUUGCUCGAGUGGCGAACGGGUGAGUAACACGUGAGUAACCUGCCCUUGACUUUGGGAUAACUUCAGGAAACUGGGGCUAAUACCGGAUAGGAGCUCCUGCUGCAUGGUGGGGGUUGGAAAGUGUCGGCGGUUGGGGAUGGACUCGCGGCUUAUCAGCUUGUUGGUGGGGUAGUGGCUUACCAAGGCUUUGACGGGUAGCCGGCCUGAGAGGGUGACCGGCCACAUUGGGACUGAGAUACGGCCCAGACUCCUACGGGAGGCAGCAGUGGGGAAUAUUGCACAAUGGGCGGAAGACUGAUGCAGAAACGCCGCGUGCGGGAUGACGGGCUUCGGGUUGUAAACCGCUUUCGCCUGUGACGAAGCGUGAGUGACGGUAAUGGGUAAAGAAGCACCGGCUAACUACGUG
rnacentral:rRNA from 1 species